UGGUAGAGCAACUGUACCUUCAUUUUUUAAUUGUAAUUUUUAACUCACAUUCACUUUAUUUUUAAUCAUCCAUCACCAACAUUCAAGCUUAUUCACAAGCAUUUGUAACAUUGAACCUUGAUCUUUAUUUUUACACUUCAGGUUCUCCCGGCGCAACGGGUCCCGAGGCUUGAUCGGGUUGCCCAGCAACCAUGACGUCACGAACGGAGCGACUUGCUGACGCACCCGGAUGCCGACGGCCCGGGACACCGAGAGACACCGCACGCUGCACACACAGGUAUUUAACAUAGGUCCUCAGACUGCAGUACCAGUGAGCAGCUGCAGCAGCGCCUGGAGCAACACCGCAAUCAGCAGGAGGCUUUGAAGAUGGUGGUAGGCCAGAGCACAACAGAGGGUCAGCAUCGUAGGAGAAUGCAGCAGGAAGGGGAUAGGCAGCUGUGAGUAAUAUAGAGCCAGGAAUAGAAGCUCCACCAGACAGCGGGGCCACAGACAGAGUAACGGCGGCUUAGCAUCUGGGAACGUGGCAGGCCCCAGAGCAGAGCAGAGGAUCAGGGAAGCACACAGAGGCCAGAGCUCAGCAUACAGACAUCAGGUACAGGAUGACUAAGUUAACCAAAGUGGAUCCCCUUGGACUGCAGGACUUCAGAGAGAAAUAAACUGUUUGCAUAUCACUGUCCGGUUGUUAUGGUGAUGGGGACGCGCGUCGCGCCUGUGCGUGAUGAUGUCAUCGAGCGGUGCUGCGGCCGGGGACUCCCGUGGUGACUGGCGGACGAAUGCGCAUUGAUGGCAUCAGACCGCGGCGGCACGGGUGGGACGCCGGCGCAGACGUCACACUCACAUGGUGUUGGUGGGGGAUAUAAGUGCAGCUGCGGGGAAUAUAACACCAAAGGGCACCGAGCAAAGAAGGAAUAAACUGACCCCUGCCUGCAGACACACCCACCAACCAUUGGAACAGAUGUCAUAGUAAGACCUUCUCACUGCUUGUUCUGCUGCAGUCCUGUGAGCCUCCAUCAGUGAGUGUAGAUUUGAUUUAUUUGGUUGAGGAUAGUGCAGUAUUUGAGCAAACACGUCUAGAGACCUCGUGGAAAGAAGAGCCAGUGUGUAAUUGUCUAUAGAACAUGGAUGUAAUAAUGAUGCCAGAGUACCAGGAAGCAUGUUGGCCUCUGAAGAUAAUAUGGGAGCGCAUUAACCAUGCCUACAGUUCAGAUACUCCUCCUAAGGACUGGGGACUUCAAAAAGGGGACUACGGUAUCCAAACCUGGGUCUUCCCAAAUAACAAUGAAAAAUACUCUGUGGUUUGGGAUUCUGGCUGCUCCUAUUGGAAGGUGAACACUCCGUUUGGACCUUGUUUAUAUUUUAUAGGACCACUGUUCAUCAACAAAGAAAGGACGGGUCUAGCUGUACCCCCGUUAUUCAAUGUCAAUGUGUCCGAUAGAGAUACACUGAUGCCGGCCUCGUCUUCAAAAGUGAUAAAGAAGAUGAAAAAAAUGGUGCAUUUUGUGGUUAAGCCUUACAGCAACAAAGCAUCAUGAGAUACAAACUGUAUGUGUUUCCAUAGUGAUUGACGAUAAUCUAUUGUUUUAAGUCACAUUCAAAUGUUUAGUUUAUUGAAAUAAGAUAUUUAAAUGAUCUCCAAGGUGUAGCGAUAUCACAUUUUAGGGGGAGUUUCUAUUUUAGACCCGUUUUGGAAAUGUAAAACACCCUGAUUGUUGUACACUCACUGAGGGGGUGCUGAUUGUGCGCCUUUUUAAAACAAUAAAUGGGGUGGAGAUGUCUUUUA